CUAAACGGUCAUCGCCAUUGCUGUCACUGAACUUGUCACACUCAGUAUUCAUCACUUGUCUACGUUGUAUUGGGAUCAUGUCUACCUACGCUAAUAUGAACCAGUACGAUAAAGCUCGCCUAGGCCCAAGGUAGACGGUAAUGGAAGCCUCGGACUGUUGGAGACAAAGCUCGCCUAGGCCCAAGGUAGACGGUAAUGGAAGCCUCGGACUGUUGGAGACAAAGCUCACCUAGGCCCAAGGUAGACGGUAAUGGAAGCCUCGGACUGUUGGAGACAAAGCUCACCUAGGCCCAAGGUAGACGGUAAUGGAAGCCUUGGACUGUUGGAGACAAAGUUCCUGUAUUCCAAGGGUGGAUCCAGCAUUUUUAAAGGGGAGGGGUCGGGAUUUUCCCCCACCUAUCUGGAUCAGCCUCGGGGAUACAACCACAAAUGUCCUUCUGUUGUCGCCAUGAACGCUACCGCAUACAAUCCAGGGGCCAUCUCACAAGUAUCCCGCGACAAGGAACCACCUCACUACCUACCAGAAGUUCCGUACAAAAUGUCUGUUUUCAGAUUAAAUACUUUUUUUAACACAAUUUCUUUCUUGUAUGGAUGAGAAUAUCCACAAUUAUGCAAAGAUAAUCCAAUAAAAGAAUUUUAAACAAAAA